AAAGUCGUAACAAGGUUUCCGUAGGUGAACCUGCGGAAGGAUCAUUACAGAGAACGGGGUAACACCCGCCUCCCACCCACUGUGUACCGAUUUGAGCUCCGGCGGGAAACUGUCGGGGUCAAUCAACUCUUGUCUUUACAGGCGACAAAAAAAUUAAAACUUUCAACAACGGAUCUCUUGGUUCUG
rnacentral:misc_RNA from 1 species